CCACCAGCCCUGGAGGUGCCACCAGCCCUGGAGAUGCCACCAGCCCCGGAGGUGCCACCAGCCCUGGAGGUGCCACCAGCCCCUGGAGGUGCCACCAGCCCUGGAGGUGCCACCAGCCCCGGAGAUGCCACCAGCCCUGGAGGUGCCACCAGCCCUGGAGGUGCCACCAGCCCCCGGAGAUGCCACCAGCCCUGGAGGUGCCACCAGCCCCGGAGGUGCCACCAGCCCUGGAGGUGCCACCAGCCCUGGAGAUGCCACCAGCCCCCGGAGAUGCCACCAGCUCUGGAGGUGCCACCAGCCCUGGAGAUGCCACCAACUCCCAGAGGUGCCACCAGCCCCCAGAGGUGUCACCAGUCCCCGGAGGUGCCACCAACCCCCGGAGGUGCCACCAGCCCCUGGAGAUGCCACCAGCCCCUGAAGGUGCCAACAACCCCCGGAGGUGCCAACAACCCCUGGAGGUGCCACCAGCCCCCGGAGUUGCCACCAGCCCUGGAGGUGCCACCAGCCCUGGAGAUGCCACCAGCUCUUCCCCCCUUCCUCGCGGCAUGGGGCAGCUCCCUCAGGGACCCCCAUGGGUGCCCCCCGCCUGCCGGUGGGGCUGUCCCCCCCCUGCCCCAUCCCCUUCCCCCCCUCACCUAAUGCUCUGCUAACACGAGCCAGAGACCCCCAGCCCCACCGCAGGACCCGAUCCUGCCGGGAGAUGCUGUCCCCGAGGGGUGGGGGGGACACACGGCCACCGCCAGCCCCCGGGGACAUUGCUCCGCGCCGGCCGGGAGCCCUCUCGCCGCCUGCUGCCGCCCCGGGGCUGAGACCCGACCCGCUCGCUGCACGUGUGGGCUGGGGAGCGGGAGGCUCUGACCCCUCAUGGGACACCCCCCCCCUCCCAUCUCUGGGUACAGGACCCCCCUCCCCAGCCUCUCUCCCCCCUGCACGCCCCCGCUGUCCCCAUGGCCCACAGCACCCAAAACACCGGGGGCCACGGGGGCACCCCCACACCCAGGGUCAUCGCACACUCGACAGGGGAAACUGAGGCAGGAGAAACCCCUGAGCCCCUCCCGAGUCAGGCCCGCCUCCCUGCACUGACCCCCCUCCCCACCCCGGGCUGGGGGGGGGGAACACACCAGGGUGUCACCGAUAAUCGGACACGGCUGCGGCGCCGCGUCCCCCCGGGCCGGGGGCCCCCCCGGCCCCGUCGCUGCUGCUAACGUAGAGCUCUGCUAUUAACGCGCGGCCCCGGCCGCCCCCCCUCGCUGCGCUGAGGCCAGGAGAUACAUAUACAUACGUAUAUAUAUAUAUAUAGUGCGACUAAUCUAUAUAUAUAUAACGGGGAAGGAAGGUUCCCCCCCCGCAAAGACUGGCUCGCCGAAGCCCCGCUGCUGCCGGGGCACCCCGGGGCUUCCUCCUCGAUUUGGGGGGAGAAAAGGCGAAGCAGUUACUAAAUAAAGGUUCUGUUGAUGGUG